rnacentral:lncRNA from 1 species
CAAAAAUAACGACUAGAAAAGAUAUAGAGAGACAAAUAGAAAGUCCCUUCAGAUGUUUCUGCUCCACGAAGGAUAAGUCUGUUGGCCAUCUCAACCCCCCCUGCAUAUGGGCAUAUUGAUUUUUUUCUUUUUGAAGCAAAGAGAAUUUGUUUAAAUCCCACAAUGAUGCAGCCAGAGUUUCCAAACUUUUGGAGCCUUCUGGAGCUAGAAAAGUUGGAUAUUUAUCUUAUUCUUGAUAUAUGGG